GAAACCCCUUAAACACUGCGCCAAAGCAUAUGCGCCAGACUCGCUUCACGCGCUCCACCUAUCGGCUCGAGCUCAGACUGCCGGUGGUGAGACCUGCGCGAGGCGUCAGCAUCCUGUCAACACAGCAGCUCCACCGCAGUACGGAACAGGUGUAGUCCGCUGACACCUAGCCAUGAUGAAAACGGGCGCCACCAAAGUGGGGCUGCCUAAGCCUGGACUCCAGGAACGAGUGAGGCAGGCCCCCUCGACGUCCUCUGCCUCCACCACCUCCUCAGCCAUGAAGACCUCCAGAUCUUCCAACACGUUGGCCUCAGAUCAGCGCCUUAGCAAGCUGAAAAGAGCCAGCAGUGAUGAUGCCUUGACAAAGCCUCCACCAGGAGCUACUGCCUCCGGUUCCCGGAUGAAGAAGACUGUGACUACAGGAGCCAUUUCAGAACUCGCUGAGGCCCGCCCUCGCAGCUUGUCAGGUGUACAAACUGUCAAGAAGUCUGGAAUCCCAGCUCCUAGAGAUAUGCCCUCUGCCAUAACAAGGGAUCGCAGCUCUUUGAGGGACCAGCUGAAGAGCAAUUCCACAAAGAGACUGGUUUCCAGUGCCAGCACUUCCAGCCUCUCCACCCUGACAAGGCAGACACGUAAUUCAGCCAAAUCUCGUGCAGAUGCAGAGGGCCAAGAAAAGAGUCUUCUGGAAAGUCAGGUGAAGGAGCUUCUUGCUGAGGCAAAGGCUAAAGACCUAGAGAUCAGCAAUCUCAGGAUGGAGUUGCAACGCUGUAAGGGUAAAGCCUCUUCUGCUUCCUCCUCACCCUCAUCCAAUUCUGUUUCACCUCAAGAACCUGCAGCCAAUCGUGAGCAAGGACAGAUGGGGGAGGCCCUUGUGUUGGUUGGGGAGCUGAGGGAGAAGAAUGGGAAGUUUCAGAGGGAGCUGGCAGCCCUCAGGGAGGAGAAUCAGGCACUGAAGGAGAAGCUGCUUAGCUUGGAGGCAUCUUCUAUCUGUAGUACAAACACAAGCACCUCCUCCAACCCUUUGGUGAAUGGCCUGUCCUCAGACUCUUCAGCUCUGCAACAGCAUAGUCUCCCCUCUACUGCCAGCCUACUCAAAACCUCUGGAUCUUCCAGUUCUGACAUCACCAAGGGGUCCCCAUCACCUGACUCCUCAGAGUUUGAGAAGAUCCCAUCACACUCAGAAUCAGCAAGCAGUGGUGUUAGUGGGAGCACUGAUCAAGCAGGGGCAGUUAACAGUGCCAGAGGUCAGGACAUCUCCUUGCAGAGCCUAACUGAACAGAUUCACAAGAUGGAGGAGAGCCACCACAGCACAUCGGAGGAACUACAGGCAACAAUACAGGAGCUUGCUGACCAGCAGCAAGUGGUGCAGGAGCUAACAGCUGAGAAUGAACGUCUGGCUGAUGAGAAACGACUCCUGCAGACUUCACUCCAACAGCAGAGAGAGCGUCUGGAGGUAUUGGCCCAGAAGAAUGAAACGUUCGCUGUCCGGCUUCAGGAGCAGGCUCAGGCUCAGGCCCAAAGGGAGGAGGAGCUGGGUAGCCAGGGGCCUCGACUGGCCGAACUGGAGCAGAGGUAUGCUGAGCUGGUAGAGAGUUCACGCUUUGAACGGGAGAAGCUAGUAGACAUCCAGCAGCAACUAACAGGCAGCUUGCGGGCCCUGGAGGAGGAGCACCAGGAGGCCCAGAGCCAGGUCCGCUGCCUCAGAGAAGAGUUAGACAGGUUGCAAGCCCAGUUGGACAGAGAGCUGGAAGCUGGAGGUCAGGCAGUUCAAACUGCAGAAGAUCAGAGGGCGACAGCUGAGGGUCUGAGACUGGAAAACAGCAGGCUGAAGGCACAAGUGGACAUUGAGAGGCAAAAGGUGACUGAGUUGAAGGCUAUGCAAAGUGCUAGUGACAACACUGAGCUGCAGACUCUGCUAAAGACAGCCCACACUGAGAGAGACAAGCUGGGAGUGGAGCUGACAGAACUAAGACAGGAGCUGCUUCAGGCGCAGGCUGAGACUGAGCAUGUGCGAGCCUCUGUGUCUAAGGUGGAGGCAAAAUGCCAGCAGCUUCAGGAGCAGGCCGAGAAGAGAGAACUGGAGCUAUGUAACCAAGUGGCUUCCCUGGAGGAGGUGGGAAUCCAGGCUGAGAACCAGGUGAAGGAGAUGAAGGAGACCAUAUUUGAGCUGGAGGACCAGGUGGAGCAGCAGAGGGCUGUUAACUGUCACACCAACCAAGCUGUCUUGGACAUGGAAAAUCUGGUCAAAAAGCUGGAGGAGCAGAAGGCUGAAGCAGAGCGGCAGCUGAAAGUUAUGAGUAGACAAAUGAAGGAUGAAAAGGAGGAGUGGCGUCGUUUUCAGGCAGACCUCCAGACGGCUGUGGUCGUAGCAAAUGAUAUCAAGGUGGAAGCUCAGCAGGAGCUUCGCACACUCAGGAGGCAGCUGCAGGAGGAGCAGGAUCGUAAUGCAAAGCUUUCUGCAGACCUUGAGGCCCUGCAGGGAGUCAGGUCCCAAGCUGAAGAGAUGAGAGUGUCUGACUCAGAUAACGGCCUUCACUGGUGCGGCAUCUCCAUGAUCCCGGCCACGCCCGCCGACGCCAGCGGAGAUUCCAACACAGAGCCUGGAGCUACUGUCAAAUCCCUCAUUAAGUCCUUUGAUACUGUUGGACAAAAUGGACCAGGUCACACGGUUCAAAUGCAUUCCUCCUCAAGAAGCCCACUGAGUGGGAUCCCUGUGCGCACUGCACCUGCUGCUGCUGUAUCCCCCAUCCAGAGACACUCGCACAUAAAGCCACUAUCAAAGACACUGGAAAAAAGAAUUAAUCAUGGAGAAUUCUCCCAUCCUCAUGACAAAUUGGCGAGCUGCAGGGAAGACCUGAAACCUAACAGCCUUAUGAGGAAAAGCCCGUCACUGGAGUCUGUAAUCAAAACCUCUGCCUCCCUCAGCAGCCGCACGCCAUCCUUCAGCUACAACCGAGGAAGCAGCAAGCUCAGUGUGGAAAGAAAGGACCCCUUGGCUGCACUGGCGCGGGAGUAUGGAGGAUCUAAGAGAAAUGCUCUACUGAAGUGGUGCCAGAAGAAAACAGAAGGCUAUCCGAAUAUCGAUGUGACCAACUUCAGCAGCAGUUGGAGUGAUGGCCUGGCUUUCUGUGCCCUAUUGCACACAUAUCUGCCUGCCCACAUCCCUUACCAGGAACUCAUCAGUCAAGAUAAGGUCCGGAAUCUGACUCUAGCUUUCCAGGCAGCUGAGAGCAUUGGCAUCAAACCCUCCCUGAUCCUUCUCCAUCUGAGAGUGGAUUUAUCAGACACUGAUCCCGCCCCGCAGCUGGACCUUUAACCUGCAAAAACACUGUGAUAGAAACUGCACAGAAACACUUUGUGUGUUUGGUGUUAUUUCCAGAACCUACUGAGAAGUUGCACUUUAAAUUAGCUACCAGAGAAAAGGACAUUAAGGAGUUGAUGAAGACCGACAGGCCAGACUGGCAGAGUGUCAUGCAGUACGUCUCCCAGAUCUACAAGUACUUUGAGACCUGAUGGGUAUGGAGGAGGAGCUGGAGCCUGAUGGUUUUUCUGUCCCAUCUUGUGAGCCCUACAUUCUCUUUUGAGACCGGCCUGAUGAUGCCACGUUACCCCUGCUCCUGCUCGACACUGGAAACGUGACAGAGGAAUUCUGUUAUUUAAAGCUGCCGAAUCCACAGUCGCUGCUCACGUGUUCAGACAGAGACUGGAGUCACUUUUCAGAGGCUUUCAGCAUCAACCAAGCAUUUGAUCCACAGACACACUGAUUAUGCUGAAAGACACUAUUGAAGCUAUGUAGCAGUUGACAACACAGUUUACAGAGACUUGACAAGUGAUCUAAUUACUUUUCUUCCCUCUGUACAAAAAUCAAUGCAUCAUUAAUGUUUGUUCAUUUUUCAGAUGCUGGCUGCCUCUCACCAUUAGGUACAAGGUGUUUUUUGUUUUUUAGUAAUACUGGCUGCCAGGAGACAACUGCCCAGUUUUAGAGAACUACAAAGUCUGGACUAAGUGGCUGUAGGGGUGGUGGCAGAUCAUGGCUUGUUAUGUUUGGAUAUUUGUUUUUUUGCAUUUGGUUUUGCUUUUUUCCAUGCCCUGGUUUCUUUUCUUUUUAUUCCCUAGUGUAAGCUUAGUGUUAAAAGCUUCUUUGUUAGGGUUAGGAAAAAUUGUAGUUUGGGUUCAGAUGUUCUCCUUCAAAAACGUAACAUUGAAAAAUGAUGAGUAUGGGGUAGUAGCUGUGUCUUUUUGACGCUAUAACCGGGUGCAUCGAGCCCUGUUGCCAAAGGGACACCUUGCAUAACUGUAACAAAGGUUUUGACGUUUGACAGAACGGGCCUAUCCAACAGCCCUGCAACGUGAGAGCUCGUCACUAACUCAGCGAAAAAGUAGAUGAUUUUUUUCUUUCCUUUCUUACACUUAUGCUAAUUGCUAAUUAUCAGCGUUGUUUGUGUGCCAACUGACCUUUAAAAAAAAAAAGUGCCAAAUUUUCACAGCCAAUGCUCUGCUCAUAUGAGGACCAUCUAUGCAUGAUUUAAGUGUGACCUUUCUGCCUGGGUGCACAGCGUGACGUCUCCUUUCUGUCAACAUAGUGUUACGAGCAAACCCGUCUAAAACCGGCUUUUGGUAAACUGGCUGAAAUGUCGCUCACGCCUUAUUCCGAGUGUUUUUAAAGAGCUGGGCUUUUCUUUGAGCCAAGCUUUGUGGUGCAUAAAGCAUUUUCAACUGUUAAGUGUGGGUUUUUCCUUACAGAAUGGACAAACAAUAGCUGUAAUGAAGUAACACUUAAAGAGUUCCUGAAUAGUUUUCUAAAAAAAAAAAGUUUUAUGAAUACAGAUUGAUCUCUAUUUGCUUUGUGUACAGUAUUAAGCACUGCCUGACUUGAACCAUCAUGCUGUGUCCUCCUUCGCACUCUUAAUGCUUUCCAUCAAAAUCCUCUGAACUAUGGUUACUGCAACUGUUUGCAACAGGUCUGUAUCUGUAUUCUGCAUGCUGAAGUACAAAAGAGAGAAAAGACUUUUCUUCUAAGAGCUGAGGACAUAACACUUUCUCUCUGGUAUAUAGGCAAGCCUCUGUUUGCAGAUGUCCUAAUGUUUUAACAGGUCAAAUUGUUAUUUAUUUAGCAGACACACAUACUGCAGAGUGAGAACGUGGACAGAUACAGUAUGCAGCAGUUUUCUAUUCUUACAUGUCUGGUGGAUAUUGCUUAAUAAAGGAAUUUCAAGAUUUUUUUUUUUAA